GACGAACGCUGGCGGCGUGCCUAAUACAUGCAAGUCGAACGCUGAAGGAGGAGCUUGCUUCUCUGGAUGAGUUGCGAACGGGUGAGUAACGCGUAGGUAACCUGCCUGGUAGCGGGGGAUAACUAUUGGAAACGAUAGAUAAUACCGCAUAAUAGCAGUUGUUGCAUGACAACUGUUUGAAAGGUGCAGUUGCACCACUAACAGAUGGACCUGCGUUGUAUUAGCUAGUUGAUGGGGUAACGGCUAACCAAGGCGACGAUACAUAGCCGACCUGAGAGGGUGAUCGACCAGACGGGGACUGAGACACGGCCCAGAGGCCUACGGGAGGCAGCAGUAGGGAAUCUUCGGCGAUGGAGGGAGGACUGACCGAGCAACGCCGCAGAGGGUGAGAAGGUUUUCGUGUCUUAAAGCUCUAUUGUAAGGGAAGAAAGAGUGUUAGAGUUGAAAGUUCACACUGUGACGGUAUCUUAACAGGAAGGGACGGCUAACUACGUG
rnacentral:rRNA from 1 species